rnacentral:lncRNA from 12 species
AUAUUAAGUCUUCAUUCCAUUACAAAGAAUAGUAUGAAAAUGUGAACAGGCCUAAGGUAUAGAACAGUGGGAAAUAUCAGUGCUGCUUUUCCUAGGCACCAGUGGCUUAAUGGUUUUGCAGUUGUGCUAUUUUCUAAACAACCCAAAAGCUGAGAAGAGGGGUGGACAGGACUGGUAUCAUUCUUUUAAGUAGUAUAAAUCAUGGCCUGACUUUUAUUGUGUGAGCAGCCUGUGCAGAUCAUGUUGUAUUUAGGAAACUGCUUUUCUUUCUAAAUACUGACCUAGACUUCACUCUCUAUAGGAAUGAAUGCUUGUCUUUGAAAGAGCUGUGUCUCAUUAAACUGAUGCUCCUACAAGUCCAGGGAGAACCCUGAUUCCUCACAUUACACUCAAGUGCACCAAAGCCCUCUGGCCUGUCUGAGAACCUCCUCUUCUCAGCCCAGAGCAGACAUAAUACAGAAGAGAUGGGGAAAAAAAUGUGAUUUGGAAUCUGGGAACCACAGAGGACGAUAGUUAAAAAAGCACACCCUGGAGCCAGACUGCUGGAUUUGAAUUCCAAUUUCACCUAAUCUCUCUACACUUCAUGUUCAUGUCUAUAAACUGGGAAUACAACUACAAGAGGUUAUCAUGAUGAAUAUGUGAGAUAAUUUAUGUACUGCACUUGGCAUACUGCAAGGAAAGUUUAGCGCUUAUGGAUAUUGCCAUGGAAGACAUUUAUUUGCCCAGGAUGAAGACUUGAGAGUGAUCCAAAAGAUGGGACACAUCAAGAUUCUGCACUGGAGCCAUCUGUCCUCUCUGCUGAAUUUGGUAACAGACUGGAGAACUUAGCUGGAGUCUCAGCCAAUUUCAGCAGGGAAGAAGGAAUAAUCUUUCUUCUUCCUCUGAGAAGACUACUUUGCCAUUUUCAGUCCCAAUUCAUUGUUUCCAGCGACUCUAAAGUGUCUGCCUGUUAG